UGACAAACCAGGCGUGUAAUCCCAAAAAGAAUCCCAAGAUAUAUAGUAGAUCUCCUGGAAAAUGUUAUAUUGUUGGGCGGCGUCUAAGGACAUGCGUUCAUAUGUGUAAUAUAGAUGGCUUUUUUUUUCUUGGAGUUGUAGUAAAAUAGGACAGGUUUUUGUUUCCACUGGGUUGCAAUGAGAUUCUUUGCUGCCAGCACAAAAGUGGCUGAUUUGGGCAUUCGAGGAAGGUAGAGAACAAAUAAGCAGAUGUUUAUAUCAAGCUUAUGUGUAAUAAUGUUCCAUCUAGAAACCAGGGUUUGAGGCAGGUAUUUUUAAAGCUGAGACUGAUGUGUGUGUGUGUGUAUGUAUGUAUGUAUGUAUAUGUAUGUGUGUGUGUGUGUG